GGAAUUUUCCGCAAUGGGCGAAAGCCUGACGGAGCAAUACCGCGUGAGGGAUGACGGCCUGUGGGUUGUAAACCUCUUUUCUCAAGGAAGAAGUUCUGACGGUACUUGAGGAAUAAGCAUCGGCUAACUCUGUGCCAGCAGCCGCGGUAAUACAGAGGAUGCAAGCGUUAUCCGGAAUCACUGGGCAUAAAGCGUCUGUAGGUUGUUUAGUAAGUCUGCUGUUAAAGACUGGGGCUUAACCCCAGAAAAGCAGUGGAAACUGCUAGACUUGAGUGUGGUAGAGGUAGAGGGAAUUCCUAGUGUAGCGGUGAAAUGCGUAGAUAUUAGGAAGAACACCAAUGGCGAAGGCACUCUACUGGGCCAUAACUGACACUGAGAGACGACAGCUAGGGGAGCAAACGGGAUUAGAUACCCCGGUAGUCCUAGCCGUAAACGAUGGAUACUAGAUGUUGCACGUAUUAACCCGUGCAGUAUCGUAGCUAAGGCGUUAAGUAUCCCGCCUGGGAAGUACGCUCGCAAGAGUGAAACUCAAAGGAAUUGACGG
rnacentral:rRNA from 1 species